GCCAGGCACAAUCAAAGCAGCAUAUGGAGAGUUUUUAUGGAGCCAUGUCUCUGAAAGGCAGAGGAAGUCAAGGUUGGAGUCUGUGAGAAGAUGUUGAAUUUGAUCACUUUUUGGAAUGACACUACGAAUGUUCAAGUGCCCUCCUAGUAUUCCCUUGGGCUUAGCUUGUGGGUCCCAGAUAACUCGAGAGUAAUUGACACAUUUAAAAAAGUUACAUUUUCUGUGUUUUCUGACGGCUGGGUUUAGUUUUGUUUAGGGGCAGUUCGGUAGCGCAAUUAACAAUCCCUCCCGCUUGCACUGGAUGUGAGGAACUAAUUAAAACAGCUUGCGUACCAGAAGCAGAGUCACGGAUUGCAUAUAGCGACUUGGGUAUGUUUGAAGAAUCAAAUUCCAUCCUGGAGCCGGGUGAGUCGAGAGAAACCAUGGGACCAUAGCACUUACCCACUUCCGCAGCGGCGACGAUCAGUGGACGAGGCCAUCCACUGCUUUCCACUCUGCGUCUGUCCUUACAGAAUACUGACACCAAUGUUGGAAGCAUCAGGGAGUUUUUUGUUUUGGUUGGUGAUGUCAGGUCCAGGUGUGGCUUCCGAAGGAACUGGGGAUGCCUCAGCUGGCUUGUCAGGCUUUCACGCCUUUGCUGGCUCGAGAGGUUUUCUUGCCUCGUUUGGCUCAGCAGGCUCCUAUCCCACGUCAUGCCUCGGCCGGCUCGUCGGGCUCCUGCGCCUCGGCCGGCUCGUCGGGCUUCCGCAUCUUGGCCGGCUCGUCGGGCCUCAACGCCUCAACCGUCUCGUCCGACUCCCGUGACACAGAGGAGGGUACUGUCACGCCUGCUCCCACUCCUCCUCGCCAGGCUGCCCAUCACUACGCAUACCUGUCGCCAUCAUUACACGCAUCAGCGCUUCAUUGGACUCACCUGGACUCCUUCACUUUGUUGAUUUCCCCCUCUAUAUCUGUCUGUUCCUCAGUUUGAUCCCUGUGUCAACAUUAAUGUUUCCCCUGUCCAGACGCUGUCCAUGUUUUGUUUCUUGUCCGUUAUUUAUUAAAUGUUCACUCCCUGUACAUACUUCUUGUCUCCCAGCGUCUGUCCUAACAGCAACUUUUACCAUUUGUUGUUAUGCACAUACUGUAUGCCUGCGCUGGUUUGCCUUAGUUUUAAAGGUUUAGAUUUAUAAGGAGCUGGCAACCAAUAAAAUGCUGAGGUUCAGGGCUGCAGCAUAUGCCACCACCACCUGUGACCUACAGUGGGGGAAAAAUGUAUUUCAUCCCCUGCUGAUUUUGUACGUUUGCUCACUUACAAAGAAAUGAUCAGUCUAUAAUUUUAAUGGUAGGUUUAUUUGAACAGUG
rnacentral:lncRNA from 1 species